rnacentral:lncRNA from 1 species
GCGAUGCCUGUGGGCAAUCUUGGUUUUCCACACCUUGAGCACAUGCCGGCGGCCUCAGUGCUGGUAGUGAAACUGCUAGAGUCAGCAAACACAUUCCCUAUGGCCAAAGACAACAAGGGCAUGGCCCGUUUAUAGUUACAAAAGGUAAGUAACAUACAAAGAAAUGUUUGGAUGUAAACAAAGAGCACUCGUCGAAGCUUAUUUAGUGUUUUUUCUAAUAGAUAAGUUUCAAUAAGUCCAUAUCCAAAUGGGCUGAUAGUAAUAGAAAACCAUAUGCUUAGUCCAAUAUUGUUAUCAUACCCAAAGAUAAAUGCAUGAUGCAAUUACAAAUGUCCAAUAUCGGCCAAGAUGGGCAUCAGCUAUGUAAGCUCCUGCGAGUGGCAUUGUCCACACUACCCCAGCCCAGUUGCUAACGUUGUUUGAAGAUGUAACAGUACCCUGAUGGAGUUUCUUCCCUAGAUACACCACCAAGUUUGUUGAUAUGCCGUAGUAAGCCAUUCUCUCAAACAAUUCAUACCCUGUAAAUCACAUGUAACAUGUCCUCUACUCAUAAGCAAAAACAAUUCAUUUAAAGUAAGUUUCUAAUGCUAUUAAGGCCGUGAAAGGCUUUGUUUUAUACCUACUAUGAAGAAACAAGCUUUCCAUGAUCCAGUCUUUGAUCUUAAAACUGGCCCACCUUUGAGGUCCACAGUGCCAUCUUGAGUGUAAUCUUCCUUUCUGCUGCCAAGGCCUUUCUCUUCAUCUACCAAUGACAUGAUGCUGGACAAGAUCGCAUCGACUUUAAUUGGCUCUUGUCUUGUGUGGAGAAUCAUGCAAGGUUUCUAGCUUUUCUCGUGAGCUUUUAUAUGGUUAUGAGGUUGAAUCUGACUUUAGAAGCUUAUAUUUUCCAAACCUGAAGCUAUACAUUGGCCACUUGCAUGAGCCAACUAACAAAGAAAUCUGAAAGGCCAAAAACAAUAAAAGAAUCUGCCACGUUUUUUUAGUAUAAUUGCCUUUUUUAUGCGCAUAACUCUCCCUUAUAUUUGUUGAUUUUUUUUUCUUUAUCUAAUCAGGAGUAUAUUUUAUGAGAGGAAAUUCCGUAUAAAUCGUGAAUGCUCACAUAAUGGGGAGAUUUCUCCUAUCAGAGUUUUUUCAGGACACAUAUGUACGCAUGAACCAAUCAACAAUUUGUGGGGUGAUGUUUAAGUUUACAUUAUGUAAAAUAUUGAUUUCACAAUUAAAUUUUUUUAUACUACUUCUGCACUACGUUUAGCAUCAGCCAAACCGACCCUAAGCGCAUGACUUAUAAAAUUUAGUCUUUAGGUACUAUGUGUUUGUUUUAUACUUAUCAUUUUGAAGCUCCUUUUUUAUCAGCUUACAUUGAUCAGUUGUGUGACUACAACCUUUGUUCCAAUUUGGUUAUUAUUCUUUUCCAGGGAAUAUUUAUUUUAAGCACCGGACAUCAGGCCCAUUCAAUAAGUGAAAAUGGUAUUAAACUUCUUUUACCUGCAAUCUUAUGCCUCAAGAUUGAAAUUUUGUAUUGCAUUAAAAUCCCUUCUACUUGAGCAGUUUUAUGUGAUUUUGAGUUUAAGAAUAUUAAAUUCAAAGCUGUAUGCUCUUGAAGUAUGAUAGGGCUUUUAGUUUUAUAGUUGUUACUUGUUAGAGUUAGUAAUGAGCCGUAGAUUGAGACUAAUUAUUUAUGAUAAUUUGGGAAGGGAAAGGUUGAUGUUGUUCAUUGGAUUACGUGUUUAGGACUAAGAUGGGAACAUGAAGUGUGUCCAUGUCAUAGAACAGCUGUUCCCCUCUGAUCAUGUGAAAAGAUUUAAUUACAUAUUUUAUUAUUAUUAUAGGGAUUUAAUUAAAAUGUUUUAAAUUAUAAGGAUUUAAUCAUAAGUUGAAUCAAACUAUAGGGACCUACUGAUUAGGUUAACCUUGAAUUAACAUACUGUAAUGUUAUUUAUGAUACUGAGGGAUGCUAGCAAUUGGUUUUACCCUUUGUUAUUCAGUGAAAUGUAUUUGUGAUCUACUAAAUUAGGUGUUUCAUUCUUUAUUUGAUGGGUUUUAUUCUUCAUAUAAUGAACAUGAGUUCAUAAAAGUUUUAGAAGAGUGUAUAGAGUAAUGUUAAUAUUUAGGAUAUUUAUGUAAAAUCAAGUAGUUAUGUUUAUGAACUGACUUGGGUUUGUAUGUUUUCAUGUCAUGUCAGUCUUGGUGACCUAGCAUGGAAUAUCAAGGCAAUGUUGCUUGUAAGUUGAUUUUUUUUAGUUGUUACUUUUUGAAUUUACCGGAUCCUUAACUUUGGAGAUGAGAUGAGAUGCCUCCUACCUAAGUAAAUGUUAAAACUUAUUUAAUAUUUUUGUCCCGCUUCAAGAAGUGUGAGAAUUGACUCUAUGUUCUUGGUGGUUUGGCUUUUAGUAAUUGAAUUAUACAUAAAGGGCUGAUAGUUUAGAUUCAUAUGGUGAGCAUACAGUGGUUGAGGCGUAUCUAGAAUUACAUUAAAGCAUAGCUACAUAUAUUUGCUUGAUCUUGUAUGCAAUACAAGAUGGUGGAC